rnacentral:rRNA from 1 species
CCCUUAGAUGUUCUGGUCCGCACGCGUGCUACACUGAGUGGAUCAGCGGGUCAGCUUGCGCGAAAGCGUUUCCUAAUCUUUAAAUCCGCUCGUUAUGGGGAUUGACGGUUGCAAUUUUCUGUCAUGAACGAGGAAUACCUUGUAAGCGCGGGUCAUCAUCCCGCGCUGAAUACGUCCCUGCCCUUUGUACACACCGCCCGUCGCUCCUACCGAUUGAGUGGUCUGGUGAGGCUUUGGGAUCUGAGCGGAAAGAGCGUUUCGCUGUUUCUGCUCGGAAAACUCAGUCGAACCUUAUCAUUUAGAGGAAGGAGAAGUCGUAACA